CACGUAGGGCGCAAGCGUUGUCCGGAAUUAUUGGGCGAAAGAGCUCGUAGGCGGACUGUUGCGUCCGCUGUGAAAAGCUGGGGCUUAACCCUGGCCUUGCAGUGGAUACGGGCAGACUAGAGGUAGGUAGGGGAGAAUGGAAUUCCCGGUGUAGCGGUGAAAUGCGCAGAUAUCGGGAGGAACACCGACGGCGUAGGCAGCGCCCUGGACGACACCUGACGCUGAGG
rnacentral:rRNA from 1 species